GCCCUUACGACCAGGGCUACACACGUGCUACAAUGGCAUAUACAAAGAGAAGCGACCUCGCGAGAGCAAGCGGACCUCAUAAAGUAUGUCGUAGUCCGGAUUGGAGUCUGCAACUCGACUCCAUGAAGUCGGAAUCGCUAGUAAUCGUAGAUCAGAAUGCUACGGUGAAUACGUUCCCGGGCCUUGUACACACCGCCCGUCACACCAUGGGAGUGGGUUGCAAAAGAAGUAGGUAGCUUAACCUUCGGGAGGGCGCUUACCACUUUGUGAUUCAUGACUGGG
rnacentral:rRNA from 1 species